rnacentral:rRNA from 1 species
UGGGGAAUCUUGGACAAUGGGGGCAACCCUGAUCCAGCCAUGCCGCGUGAGUGAUGAAGGCCUUAGGGUCGUAAAGCUCUUUCGCCUGUGAAGAUAAUGACGGUAGCAGGUAAAGAAACCCCGGCUAACUCCGUGCCAGCAGCCGCGGUAAUACGGAGGGGGUUAGCGUUGUUCGGAAUUACUGGGCGUAAAGCGCACGUAGGCGGACCAGAAAGUUGGGGGUGAAAUCCCGGGGGCUCAACCCCGGAACUGCCUCCAAAACUAUUGGUCUAGAGUUCGAGAGAGGUGAGUGGAAUUCCAAGUGUAGAGGUGAAAUUCGUAGAUAUUUGGAGGAACACCAGUGGCGAAGGCGGCUCACUGGCUCGAUACUGACGCUGAGGUGCGAAAAGUGUGGGGAGCAAAACAGGAUUAGAUACCCUGGUAGUCCACACCGUAAAACGAUGAAAUGCCAGUCGUCGGGUAGCAUGCUAUUCGGUGACACACCUAACGGAUUAAGCAUUCCGCCUGGGGAGUAC